UACGGAGGGGGCGAGCGUUGUCCGAAGUUACUGGGCGUAAAGCGCGCGUAGGCGGGUGGGUAAGUCCGCUGUGAAAGCCCGGAGCUCAACUCCGGAGGGUCGGUGGAUACUGCCCAUCUUGAAGGUGCUAGGGGGAGAUGGAAUUACCGGUGUAGCGGUGAAAUGCGUAGAGAUCGGUAGGAACACCAGUGGCGAAGGCGGUCUCCUGGAGCAUACUUGACGCUGCGGCGCGAAAGCUGGGGGAGCGAACGGG
rnacentral:rRNA from 1 species